GUCAAAACCAUGGAAAAGUCUAUUUGGUGAUUACCAGGUCCAAAACGAAUUUGCAAAAGUAGGAAGCAGUGAAGCAGUCUCGCUUUUCUUUGGAAAAACAUCAAACAGAAGACAAUGAUAUAUACGGAGUGUAUAUAAUGCAAAACCCAAACCCAAAACUUGAAAGAAAAGGAAAAGGAAAAGCAAAAACAAACUUCUCUCUGAUAAUGGCCAAUCACCCAUCUCCUCUAUUCUUCAUUGUUCUCCAUUCUUGAUCAUUCUUUACUCAGAUGAGCAAAAUGCUUAGGCCUGACAGGUGGCAGGCUAUCUUUGAUAAGGAUGGGAAGGUACAUGGUUUUAGGAAUAUUAUUGAUCAUAUUGGGGCUAGGAUAUAUCUACAAAGGGAACUAGGCAUGCUUGCCACAAAUCAGCAGUUCAAAUUCCACCCUAGGUGUAAGAAACUAGGGAUGAUGCACAUCUGCUUUGCUGAUAACCUGUUAAUGUGUUCUGCAACGCUGAUAUCCCCUCUAUAAAGCUACUCCGGGAGGCUUUCUUCAGAUUGUCAGUUGCCUCAGGCUUAUAAACUAACAUUGACAAGAGUUCAAUCUUUAUGUCUAGUGUAAAUGCUUCUCUUAAAAAGGAAAUUCUCAACAGCUUGGGAUUCUGGGAAGGAUCUCUUCCUUUUAAGUACCUAGGAGUGCCUUUGUCUUCAAAAAAGUUGUCGACUGCUCGGUGUCUACCCUUAGAGACAGCAUAACUGAAAGAAUCAAGUGUUGGUCUACAACACUAUUAUCUUAUGCUGGCAGGCUCCAACUAAUCAAACCUGUGAUUUUUGGCAUUCAAACAUAUUCGGCACAGAUAUUCAUCCUGCCUAAGAGGAUCAUGAAAUUGAUUAACAACUUAUGUAGAUCUUUCCUGUGGACUGAUGCUGCAGCUAUCUCCAGAACAGCACUAGUAUCACAGGAGAAAACUUGCCUACCAAAGGCAGUAGGUGGCCAAAAUGUUAUGAACUUAUGUUCCUGGAACAGAGCUGCAACAGUAAAGCAACUAUGGGCAGUUGCUGAAAAGAAAGACUGCUUGUGGAUUAGAUGGGUCCACAUUUAUUGUUUAUUAUAUCAAGAAUUGCUCUGUGGAAACUUGCUCUAUUCCAGGUUCUGCUACCUGGGUAGGGAGGAAUACUGGAGGCUAGAAAGUUUAUCAUGCAGGCACCAACUCUUCAGGGAGACUUACAGACUAGAUUUGCUGAUGCGCUGGCUAACUCACAAUUUUCCAUUAAGAUGUAAGCAUGCAAGGCAAUUGACAAGCAAAUUACUUUGAUGAAAUUGCCUAUUUAUUGAUGUAGUGGGGAACUCUACACAUACAAGAAUCAAGAUGUAUACAAAAUUUUGAAAUUUUGUUGAAAAAAUAUGAUUCUCUAGAAAGUCUAUCAAGUCGUCCAGAUACUGUAUAUGCUCCAAAAAUAUAUUAUUAUUAUUAUUAUUAUUAUUAUUAUUAUUAUUAUUA